AGCGAACGCUGGCGGCAGGCCUAACACAUGCAAGUCGAACGAAGCCUUCGGGCUUAGUGGCGGACGAGUGAGUAACACGUGGGAACGUACCUUUUGGUUCGGAACAACUCAGGGGAACUUGAGCUAAUACCGGAUGAGCCCUUAGGGGGAAAGAUUUAUCGCCGAAAGAGCGGCCCGCGUUAGAUUAGCUAGUUGGUGAGGUAAAGGCUCACCAAGGCAACGAGCUAUAGCUGGUCUGAGAGGAUGAUCAGCCACACUGGGACUGAGACACGGCCCAGACUCCUACGGGAGGCAGCAGUGGGGAAUCUUGCGCAAUGGGCGAAAGCCUGACGCAGCCAUGCCGCGUGAAUGAUGAAGGUCUUAGGAUUGUAAAAUCCUUUCACCGGUGAAGAUAAUGACUGUAGCCGGAGAAGAAGCCCCGGCUAACUUCGUGCCAGCAGCCGCCGUAACAC
rnacentral:rRNA from 1 species